rnacentral:rRNA from 1 species
AGGUUAAGCUAAUAAGUGCGCACGGAGGAUGCCUAGGCGCCAGGAGCCGAUGAAGGACGCGACGAACAGCGAUAUGCUUCGGGGAGCUGUAAGUGA